rnacentral:rRNA from 1 species
AACGCUGGCGGCGUGCGUAACACAUGCAAGUCGAACGGUAUUUUGAUAAGGAAAAGGCUACGGUCUUGGAAAGUCAAGAGAGAGUGGCGAACGGGUGAGUAACGCGUGAGCAACCUGCCUUCCACAGAAGGGAUAGCUGCCGGAAACGGUAAUUAAUACCAUAUGAAGUUAACGAAUCGCAUGAUAAGGGAACUAAAGAGAAAUCGGUGGAAGAUGGGCUCGCGUCCGAUUAGCUGGUUGGAGAGAUAACAGCUCACCAAGGCGAUGAUCGGUAGCCGGCUUGAGAGAGUGAACGGCCACACUGGAACUGAGAGACGGUCCAGACUCCUACGGGAGGCAGCAGUGGGGAAUUUUGCACAAUGGGGGGAACCCUGAUGCAGCGACGCCGCGUGAGCGAAGAAGGAAUUCGUUUCGUAAAGCUCUGUCCUAUGGAAAGAUAAUGACGGUACCAUAGGAGGAAGUCCCGGCUAACUACGUGCCAGCAGCCGCGGUAAUACGUAGGGGGCGAGCGUUGUCCGGAAUUAUUGGGUGUAAAGGGUACGCAGGCGGUCUAAGAAGUCAGAUGUUAAAGCGUAGGGCUUAACCCUAUAAAGCAUAUGAAACUGAUAGACUUGAGUAAAGGAGAGGAAAGUGGAAUUCCUGGUGUAGCGGUGAAAUGCGUAGAUAUCAGGAGGAAUACCGGUGGCGAAGGCGACUUUCUGGACUUUAACUGACGCUGAGGUACGAAAGCGCGGGGAGCAAACAGGAUUAGAUACCCUGGUAGUCCGCGCCGUAAACGAUGAAUGCUAGGUAUUGGGAGUCAAAUUUCAGUGCCGAAGUAAACACAUUAAGCAUUCCGCCUGGGGAGUACGGUGGCAACACUGAAACUCAAAGGAAUUGACAGGGACCCGCACAAGCAGCGGAGCAUGUGGUUUAAUUCGAUGCAACGCGAAGAACCUUACCGGGGGCUUGACAUAUACUGAAGUAUGUAGAGAUACAUAUGAUUCUUCGGAAACAGGUAAACAGG